CACGUAGGGACCGAGCGUUGUCCGGAUUUAUUGGGCGUAAAGAGCUCGUAGGCGGUCGUGUAAGUCGGGUGUGAAAUCUCCAGGCUCAACUUGGAGGGGCCACCCGAUACUGCACAACUCGAGUCCGGUAGGGGAGUGGGGAAUUCCUGGUGUAGCGGUGAAAUGCGUAGAGAUCGGAAGGAACGUCGAUGGCGAAGGCAGCCACCUGGCAUGAUACUGACGCUGAGGCGCGAAAGCGUGGGGAGCGAACAGG
rnacentral:rRNA from 1 species